GAAUGUGAGGAUGACUGGUUGUGACAUCUGUCAUUCCAUCAAUUGCUGGGGUUGAUUCGGGUGAUCUAGCAGGUGUCCACUUUUCCUUCACCACACCAUGUGUGUUCCUCUUGAUGCUGUGUUAGUGGAAAAGGAGAACCUUCCCCAAAAAAGGAGGCCCAUUCUUACAUCAAGGGUGUAAGAGUAGCUGUGCUCUCCUGCUAGAACCUCCACACAGCUCUCAAGGUCCAUAUUGGCAGGCCUGGCUGUGGAGGUGUUACUUCUGGUUUCUCACCCAGUCAUU
rnacentral:snRNA from 1 species